rnacentral:tRNA from 1 species
AGAACGACGCGAAUAUUGCUGAGCAUGAAAUUACUUAAUUUAUAUGAGAGAACACUUGAAAAUAUGUUACCACACAG